rnacentral:rRNA from 1 species
CCUACGGGAGGCAGCAGUGAGGAAUAUUGGUCAAUGGACGGAAGCCUGAACCAGCCAUGCCGCGUGCAGGAUGACGGCUCUAUGAGUUGUAAACUGCUUUUGUACAAGGGUAAACCUGGAUACGUGUCUUCAGCUGAAAGUACUUUACGAAUAAGGAUCGGCUAACUCCGUGCCAGCAGCCGCGGUAAUACGGAGGAUCCAAGCGUUAUCCGGAUUUAUUGGGUUUAAAGGGUGCGUAGGCGGAUUAAUAAGUUAGAGGUGAAAUGUCCGGGCUUAACUAGGGAACUGCCUUUAAUACUGUUGAUCUAGAGAAUGGAUGCGGUAGGCGGAAUGUAUGGUGUAGCGGUGAAAUGCUUAGAGAUCAUGCAGAACACCGAUUGCGAAGGCAGCUUGCCAAUCCAUAUCUGACGUUGAGGCACGAAAGCGUGGGGAGCAAACAGGAUUAGAUACCCGGGUAGUC